rnacentral:rRNA from 1 species
AACAUCGCCUCUUGAUACAUUUAUAAGAGGUCAAGCCUGCCCGGUGACAAAGUUUAACGGCCGCGGUAUCCUGACCGUGCAAAGGUAGCGCAAUCACUUGUCUCCUAAAUAGGGACUAGUAUGAAUGGCAUCACGAAGACUAUACUGUCUCCCUCUCACCACCAGUGAAACUGAUCUUCCCAUGAAAAAGUGGGAAUACCCUUAUAAGACGAGAAGACCCCAUGGAGCUUUAAACUAGUAUUAUCUAUUUAACCUCAAACCCCAAUAGCGCAACUAAUUAUAAUUACUAGUUUUCGGUUGGGGCAACCACGGAGUAAAGUAAAACCUCCGCGAUGUAUAGACCUUAUAUCUUUAUUUAAGAACUACACCUCUAAAAAUCAAUAUAUUGACAUAAAUUGACCUAUUAAGUUCAACGAACCAAGUUACCCUGGGGAUAACAGCGCAAUCCAUUUCAAGAGUCCUUAUUGACAAUUGGGUUUACGACCUCGAUGUUGGAUCAGGGUGUCCAAGUGGUGCAGCCGCUACUAACGGUUCGUUUGUUCAACGAUUAAAACCCUACAUGAUC